GGUGGACUAGGUCUUCCUGGAGCCUUGGCUGGCGACAUUAUUGGAACCCACGUUCCACUUGCACCACGUGACCUUCCCUUUUCAAACCUUGACGUGGUCAGAGGCUGAUGGUCAGUCAUGUGGCGUUGCUGCCACCGUGUGGUGAAGAGACGGAAUCAGGUAGAAUCAAUGUUGCAGCCAAGACCGUCUAAACCAAGACCAAGACAUUGCAGAGACCGGAGGGUAUCAAGACCAAGACCCACUAAGAAACUGAACCGAGGGGGAUUACACCGACGCUCUCAUCAUUCAUAACCUGCUGGCAGCC
rnacentral:lncRNA from 1 species